GGGGAAGGAUCUCUUCUGGAGAUCCCCUCUUUUGGUAUCUUCUAGUGAGCUCAACCCAAGGACAGAUGGAGGGUGAAGAGGCAGUUACCAGAACAGUUUUGGAAAUCAGCAAGUGCUUCCUCUCCUGGAAAAGAGGAUAUGAAGAAAGUGGUGGGUGUCUUGAGCCUUACUCUAAUUAUAUGCAUGGAAUGGGUGCAAAGACAUCUUUGAGAGUGUUCAGUGGAAGUGUUUCAUACAGAGUUUUUUUUCUGCUGAAUUUUAUGUCAAAUAAAAGUCUGUCCUUAAAGAGACUCCUGAGAAUUCCUUGCUGUGAUGGGGAACAGAUGAGUCCUCACAAGAGGCUUUUGUUCUGAAUGAGUACAUUGGAAUCUCAGGAAAAUGGGAGUCCAUUCAUUCUUUGAACAGAAAGUGCUGCUCAAGAGAUGUUUUAAUCUACUAUCAUCUUCUUAUCCUAACUGAAACAACAUCCAGACCAUCUAAGGUCAUGAACUAGAAUUUUAUAAGCGCAGAUACUUCCCUCUCCUCAUGUGGCUGAUGUUCUACCUCCAAGAGGAGAAAUCUGAAAGGGUAAAUAAGCAUCGUUGCCAAUGUGAUGGAGACACAUAGCUUGUGGCGCAAAGUAGAUGGGAAGAAGGUCAUAAAUCAGUUUGGAAAACCAAUACAAACAAGCAGCAUCAUCACAGUUGUAAAGAUAGAGCUUUAUAUAAUUAAGUACCUCCAGCUGCCUUCACUUCAGUGGUAAAUGUGUGUGAUAGUCAUGGUUUCUAUCUGGAAAGGAAUGUCCAUUUGUGCUGCCAUUUGGGUAUUUAUUUAGACUAAAAACAGUAUCUACUGUCUAGAAUUAAUCUAUUUUUAAAUAACUCCAAUCACUAGAAUUAUUUCUUUUUUGCUUCCUUGCCAUGCAGACCUCUGUAA